UACGGGGGGGGCGAGCGUUGUCCGCAGUUACUGGGCGUAAAGCGCGUGUAGGCGGGUUGUUAAGUCCGCUGUGAAAGCCCGGUGCUCAACGCCGGAGGGUCGGUGGAUACUGGCAGUCUUGAAGUGGCUAGGGGGAAAUGGAAUUACCGGUGUAGCGGUGAAAUGCGUAGAUAUCGGUAGGAACACCAGUGGCGAAGGCGGUUUCCUGGAGCCCACUUGACGCUGAGACGCGAAAGCUGGGGGAGCAAACGGG
rnacentral:rRNA from 1 species